ACUUACCCACCCCUAAUUCCAUUAAUUUCACUGAACUCCUAAAACACAUUGGACCAAUCUAUUUUUUAAUAGAAGUAAUAAUGUUAGUAUAAGUAACAUGAAAUUAUUCUCCCUGCAUAAGCUUAUUCCAGACCGAAACAACUACUGCUAGUUAACAGCUAGACCACGGAACCA